rnacentral:rRNA from 1 species
UACAGAGGUCUCAAGCGUUGUUCGGAUUCAUUGGGCGUAAAGGGUGUGUAGGUGGCGCGCUAAGUCGGGUGUGAAAUUUCGGAGCUUAACUCCGAAACUGCAUUCGAUACUGGCGUGCUUGAGGACUGGGAGAGGAGACUGGAAUUUACGGUGUAGCAGUGAAAUGCGUAGAUAUCGUAAAGGAAGACCAGUGGCGAAGGCGGGUCUCUGGACAGUUCUGACACUGAGACACGGAAGGCCAGGGAGCAACGGAUUAGAAACCUUGU